rnacentral:lncRNA from 1 species
CUGUCACAGACCUGCCUGAUCAGUCAGGAAAAUCCAGGUCAGUGCCUGCAGACUGACCCAGAGUAAACUUCAGAGUUGGCAUCCAGCAGGUGUUUCCCUGAGAUCUGGCAUAUCUGCUUCAGUUCUCAGAGAAAAUGGGAUUAUUCAGGGUGAAGAUGAGGGGAUCCUUUGAAAAUACUAUAUGGAGAAGUUAACACAACACCAGACAAGCUCACAUCUGAAGGAGCUCCACAGCAUACACAGCAAGGAGCUCGAGAUUGCAGAGCCCCUGUGCCAGCAUGAGCUGGGUGGUGCCAGAGCAGCACUAAGCAGCACUUUGUGAGCACAUUUCUGGACACCCCAUGCCAGCACCGCAACCCUGCCAUGCUGCAAUGUCCCUUAAAAGCCAGGAAGCCGUGUACAGACAGCAAGGACCUGCUGCUGGGAGCAGCUGGCAACAGAACUACACCCUGCUGCUGGGAACUUUCACCUUAGAUAGCUGAAUCUGUUCUCAUAGAAAUGUCAAUUAUCAGGCAUGGAAAUACCAGCGCCCAGUUUUCCACUGGAUAAAAACCUGCUGUAUGCUAGAGCUGCACCCACAGCGGGCAGUGACACAGAGGAUGAGUGACCCUGUGAAUUCUCAACUCUCCC